AGCAAUACAGGCCAGAUGUUCAAGCGCUGUCUCUUCUUCGUGCAGCUUUUCACCGGCUUGGCUGCUUUCCCGGAGUGUACUACGAAGGCCUUCCUGGAUGCAUCACCGCUCGCAUGUCAUCACGCCCUGAUGUUCCCGCAUGCGCGCGAUGACUGCCCUAUCUCCGCCCUGGAAGAUAGUCAUGGUCUGUUCACCGCUGGAUUCGACAAGAUACUGACCUCUGCCAUCGGUGACGUCAGCCUGGAUGGUGCACUAAUGCGAGUCACGACGCCGGCUCCGUUCAGUAUAAAAGCCACACCGCAGCUUCAUCACUUCAGUGGGCAAGGCAGCAGCAAUACAGGCCAGAUGUUCAAACGCUGUCUCUUCUUCGUGCAGUAUUUGGAUGAAUUUUCACUAUAUGGGGUUCCUGACAAUACGAACGGUGGUUCUUGCAUUUCACCCCCACGGAAAUUUGACUGCCAUAGACUGCCACGGCCGGGAAUUCACCCCGCAGCCUCAUGCUUGCAUCGCAGCGCCAAGGCCACUAAGUACCCAUGAUGACAGUCCAAGCCUAAAAUUGGAGUACCCUCAACAAGGAAUUCAUGCACUUUCAAGCAGUAGUACCCUCAACAAGGAAAAUAAGUCAGUUAGGUAGUGGUGGAAUGCAGGGAAGGUAGAGCAGCAGACUUCUCUAUUCAAGGCCCCAUUCUCGAAUCCUCCUCCUCCAGGUCACUACAUUUUCAAGUUGAAGU